GCUUACGACCACACCGGCCUGAUACGCCUGAUCUCGUCUGAUCUCGGAAGCUAAGCAGGGUCGGCCUGGUUAGUACUUGGAUGGGAGACCGCCUGGGAAUACCAGGUGCUGUAAGCU
rnacentral:rRNA from 1 species